AUGUCAUGUCCUAAGUCAUAGAGUCUGUAUUAGGAUGUUACAAAUGUAAUUUUUGUUUUUAUUGGUUCGAUCACGCAGAAGGUUGUUGUUUGGUGAUUGCGAUAACCUUCUUAUUUUUGUCUUCGGAUAAGCAUUGUAAAUUCUUUNACAGUAUAGAAGUAUUUAAAUCAGAUGAAAUUUUGAUACAAAAUUCUUUAUACUAUCUACAAUAAGAUCAAUAUUUCUGAUCGAAAAUUUUAGUGCUAUAUCACCACUUUUUAUAGGAUUUUUAUUUCCGGCUGUUAAAAAUUAUUGAUUUUGAAUCCUUUCAAUUGCUAGAUAAAUGAUACCGAAAAAUCGCAAAAAUUAUUUUCUAGAAACUUCAAAUACGCUAGAUCAAAUCUAACGGAGCCGAUCGUUGAUUCGAAAAUUCCAUCAUCGGCCUCCGUGCUCCUGAGAGCACAGCAGUCCUGCUAUAUAUAUAUAGAGAGAGAGAGAAAAUUGAGCUUCUAUGCUUUUACAAGUACCUAGUUAUUGGUGCUUGUAAGUUUUUGGCCUUUGGAUUAAUGGAUAUGCGGUUAGGAUAAUGUGGGCUCCUUAAGGUUGAGUGGGUGGUUGGUUGAAUAGUAUAAUCUAACGGGUAAAAAUGAUCAAAGGGAAAGAUUUAACAGUAAAAAAUUUACAAGUACCAAAUGCUUGGUGCUUUUACAAUUAUUUUAAAAUGUCAUCUAUGUAAAGGAGGAAAAAUCAGAAUAAAAUU
rnacentral:lncRNA from 1 species